rnacentral:rRNA from 1 species
GAACACUUUGAAAGUCCUGUGGAGGAGAACAAUGAAGUUCCUGCCUAUGCAUCUGAAGAUGCUGACUACUGGAAGGAAGCGGUUCGUAGAUGCAAAUGGGUAUUCAAGAAGAAGCUUAGGCUUGAUGGUACUAUUGAAAAGUACAAGGCUCGGCUCGUGGCUAAGGGUUAUACCCAAAAGGAAGGUGAAGACUUCUUUGAUACUUACUCACCUGUGGCUCGACUGACCACUAUUCGAGUUAAGACUGCUUUUCUAAAUGGAGAGUUGGACGAGGAAAUUUAUAUGGAACAACCAGAUGGGUUAGUACUAGAUGGUCAGGAAAGAAAAGUGUGCAAGUUGCUGAAGUCUUUGUAUGGACUCAAGCAAGCACCCAAACAGUGGCAUGAGAAGUUUGAAAGAACUUUAACAGCUGCAGGCUUUGUUGUAAACGAAGCUGACAAAUGUGUGUACUAUCGCCAUGGUGGGGGCGAGGGAGUUAUCCUUUGCUUGUAUGUUGACGACAUACUGAUUUUCGGAAUAAAUCUGAAUGUUAUUAAGGAGGCCAAGGAUUUUCUAUCUCGCUGUUUUGAGAUGAAAGAUUUAGGAGUGGCUGAUGUCAUUCUGAACAUCAAGUUGUUGAGAGACGAUGAUGGUGGGAUCACAUUGCUUCAAUCUCACUAUGUGGAAAAGAUCUUGAGUCGCUUUGGCUACAGUGACUGCAAGCCCUCUCCAACACCAUAUGAUGCUAGUGUGUUGCUUCGAAAGAAUCGAAGAAUUGCUAGAGACCAAUUGAAGUAUUCUCAGAUUAUUGGCUCGCUUAUGUACUUAGCCAGUGCUACAAGACCUGACAUCUCUUUUGUUGUUAGCAAACUGAGUCGGUUUGUCUCAAAACCAGGAGAUGUGCAUUGGAAAGCUCUAGAGAGAGUUUUGCGUUAUUUGAAAGGCACUGCGAAUUAUGGAAUUCACUACACCGGGCACCCAAAGGUGCUUGAAGGGUAUAGUGACUCAAACUGGAUCUCAGAUGCUGAUGAGAUAAAGGCCACGAGCGGUUAUGUAUUCACUCAUGGAGGUGGCGCUGUUUCUUGGAAGUCUUGCAAGCAGACCAUCUUAACGAGGUCAACAAUGGAAGCAGAACUCACAACACUAGAUACAGCUACGGUCGAAGCAGAUUGGCUUCGCCGACUCUUGAAUGACUUGCCGGUUGUUGAGAAACCUGUACCGGGUAUCCUUAUGAACUGCAACAAUCAAACUGUGAUCACGAAAGUGAGCAGCUCAAAGGAUAACAUGAAGUCAUCAAGACACGUUCAGAGAAGGUUAAAGUCUGUCAGGAAAAUGAGAAACUCCGAAGUUAUUGCAUUGGAUUAUAUC